UUAAUUAAAGCCAAAAAGAGGCAUAUCACUGUUAAUGAUACCAUUGAGUAAUCCUCUAAUUAAA
rnacentral:tRNA from 1 species